rnacentral:rRNA from 1 species
GAAGUAAAAGUCGUAACAAGGUCUCCGUUGGUGAACCAGCGGAGGGAUCAUUACAGAGUUAUCCAACUCCCAAACCCAUGUGAACUUAUCUGUUUGUUGCCUUGGCGCAAGUUACCCGGGACCUCGCGCCCCGGGCGGCCCGCCGGCGGACAAACCAAACUCUGUUAUCUUCGUUGAUUAUCUGAGUGUCUUAUUUAAUAAGUCAAAACUUUCAACAACGGAUCUCUUGGUUCUGGCAUCGAUGAAGAACGCAGCGAAAUGCGAUAAGUAAUGUGAAUUGCAGAAUUCAGUGAAUCAUCGAAUCUUUGAACGCACAUUGCGCCCAUUAGUAUUGUAGUGGGCAUGCCUGUUCGAGCGUCAUUUCAACCCCUAAGCACAGCUUAUUGUUGGGAAUCCACGCCUGUGGUUCCUCAAAGACAUUGGCGGAGUGCCAGUAGUCCUAGAGCGUAGCAAUUCUGUAUACAAAGUUCGUUAGGGGCCUUGGGAGUUGGAUAACUCUGUAAUGAUUUUUCGGCUGGCCCACCAUCGGAGACCUUGUUACCACUUUUACUUCU